GAGAUUAUAAGCAAUUUUAAACUCUUUGUGGUCACUGUGGCCAAGACGGCCACCAAUUUCCACUUUGCUCACGAGAUCCACUCUGUUGACAAGCAGCAGAUCAAGGAAGGCAUCUUUCCAAGUCA